rnacentral:rRNA from 1 species
GAUGAACGCUGGCGGCGUGCCUAAUACAUGCAAGUCGAGCGAACGGACGAGAAGCUUGCUUCUCUGAUGUUAGCGGCGGACGGGUGAGUAACACGUGGAUAACCUACCUAUAAGACUGGGAUAACUUCGGGAAACCGUAGCUAAUACCGGAUAAUAUUUUGAACCGCAUGGUUCAAAAGUGAAAGACGGUCUUGCUGCCACUUAUAGAUGGAUCCGCGCUGCAUUAGCUAGUUGGUAAGGUAACGGCUUACCAAGGAAACGAUGCAUAGCCGACCUGAGAGGGUGAUCGGCCACACUGGAACUGAGACACGGUCCAGACUCCUACGGGAGGCAGCAGUAGGGAAUCUUCCGCAAUGGGCGAAAGCCUGACGGAGCAACGCCGCGUGAGUGAUGAAGGUCUUCGGAUCGUAAAACUCUGUUAUUAGGGAAGAACAUAUGUGUAAGUAACUGUGCACAUCUUGACGGUACCUAAUCAGAAAGCCACGGCUAACUACGUG